UUCACGCUGCGCUUCCGCUCGGAGCCCAAUUGACGCUCGUGUUUUUUCCACUCGCGAUCGUCUUCGGCCUGUGACUGAGUGGACCGUCCUGUUGGUCUAGGGUUUCGAGUGUGAAGUGGCGAGUUCGCGAGUUCCCCGUUUCAGUUCUAGCUACUGGGUGUGUUUUGUUGGUUUCAUCAUUUGUCCUUGCGGUCGGAGCUCUCGCUUCUUGCCCUGGUGUGUGUGGGCAUGUGUGUGCGUUUUUGUCGAUCUCUUCGUGGGUUAUUGCAGGCUUUUGCUUUAGUGGAUUGAUAGCGUUUACCUCAAGAGGAGAUUCUAACGUGCAACAGAUUCCUCUGAAAUAUGAUUGGACGAAUUUUCACGUUUCUCAUUUACGAUUGUAAAGGUGGCUGAUUAUUGAGUGUACAAAUGUCUUUAUUGAUGUAAACAACAAUAACAAUCGUAACAUCAGUCGUGUCCUUCAUGAUAUUCAAGGUGCGUCGUUCUGUUUGCAAGGAAUUAUUCAUAGACGAGGAAGGCAUGGAAGAAAUGGAAAUUAAAAUUCUCAGACAUAUCUAAGGCCCUUCCUUAUCAAGAAAAGACUUCACAUUCUAAAGGUAGUUGGAUCGUUAGUUGCAACAGUUGGAAGAGUAUUCUCAAUCAGGAAUAUAGACGUUUAUUUUAAUGUUCAUUCUAGUCUUCUUAGCACUGAGAUAGGUCAGAUUGGUGAACGUGAGCACGAAUGCGACGUCUACACUAAGAUUUGAGUUUGUAUUUUGGAAACCAUGACCAUUCAUAUGUUAAUCGAAGUUUUGAAAAAAACAAUGACUCCUUUAUUUUUCA